rnacentral:rRNA from 1 species
UGGUGGAGUGAUUUGUCUGGUUAAUUCCGUUAACGAACGAGACCUCGAUCCUUAACUACGAAGCUUCACGCUUGCGUGCUGAUAAGUUCUUAAGGAGACUAUCGGAUACAAAGCCGAUGGAGGUACGAGGCAAUAACA